GGCAGUGUCACGUCCUAUAGAAAUACUGGCCAGUGCACUGUGCUGAAGUCUGCGGCCGCAGGGCUGGUCCUAUUGCUGGCCACCUCUGUUCUGGAAUCUUCACUGAGCCGACACAGGCAGCCUUCCCAGAGCAAUGGCUUCCGGUGUCCAGUGCCCGGGGCUGGAAAUCCAGCCUUUCACAGCGUCUUACGUUAACCUGGCCACCCGCGCCGAGUGUGACACAGACUCUCCUCUGGGCCAUGUGGACACUGACAACAUAGCAGGACAAUAUCCAAGGAGCUCACCUCGAUGCCUGACGUGGCGUUUCCGGUGCCAGGGGAUGUUUUGCCGGAGCAGGGUAGCAUCUCGCGAGAACACCCGUAGGCGGUGGGCCCAAUUCCUACCUCCGCGUAGGUCCUGAAAUGAGGGAAAGGAAGAGCUGCGUGUUGCUGAGAAGUGUAUGACCAGGGAAUGGAUGGUUCCAGCCCCCAAACUCACUGCUACUGCACCCGAGGUUACAGGAGGGUCUGACGGCACAGGUGCCCUCCGUGUCCACCCGGUAGUUUCCCACCAGAGUUGGAGCCUCAGUCACCACCGAGGAGGGUCUGCAACUACCACCGCUCUGGCCACUCAAAGGGGGAAAAUCAUACUAAUGAAAACAAGCAUUUGUCUCCAGAGUCAAACGCCAGAAGUUACAGGCCAAUGAUAAAGGAAAUCAGAGGACCACUCCUCCAAUAGAUGAGUACUCCAUGUGGAUAACCAACUGAACAUUUCCUAAAAAUCAUAAUUUAUAAGACUAACAAGAGGUCAUCCAGUACAAGAAUUGUAGAGAAAACAGCAGCCAUCACCUGAGAAGUCUUCAGGGAAGGAGUGCCCUAUGGAAGAGGCCAAUUCUCACUAGAGAAAAAAAGGUAAAGGAACCAUUCAAGAGGUCAAGAAUAUCGAGAUUUUGCUGAAGAUGGAGUGGCCAGGAAAUCUGGGGCUUUCUGUGGUGACUGACAUGAAAAGAGAUGAAUGGAACAUUGAGACAAGCCUCGGACAGGGAGAGCAGUGGAAAAGAAAUUUCAAUACUUUGAUGAGAUACAAGGGCCUGAAGCAAGGCAUUGCACCAUUUUUCUUUGACUAAAUUUAACCCACAAUUUGAAGAGAACAUUUGUUUUGGAACCAAAUUUUCUAAACUAUUUUAUAUUCCUUUUUAGUGUUUUAAAUUAAAACUGAUUUUA